rnacentral:lncRNA from 1 species
GAAUUUUAUUUAUUAUUGGAAUUAUAUAUAUAUAUAUAUACACACUCUAAAAUAUAUAUAUAAAAACAAGGCGCAGCGAAAAGCGCGCCAUAAAAAUACACUGAGAAGUUAGUCGCAUUCCGUGACCGCAGCCUAAAUGUCGCACGAUCACUUUGCGUUGCACCUUUCUCGUCUGUGCGUAAUUAAUCUUAAUCGCAAUCAUUUUAUACAUCUCGAGUAAAGUUUUCGACUAAACAACUAUGAAAAGUGUUGAAUUUAUUUCCAGUCAAUCAUCAGCAGGUAUUAAUUAUCUCAUUCAAAUGAUAUCAGCAGUUGUGAAUAACAAAGAAUGUCGAAUGUCGAAGCCGUUUUAAUAUAUAAAUUAAUUUGUAUCAUUGUAUUUUUUGUAUUUCAGUGUUCAAUGGAUAAUCGAUAUCGGUUGCGUUUCGUCAAGAAAAUGUAUUUACACACAUGUGUUCGCGUUGUUUCGCGCAUUAAUCAAGUAAGUGUAAUCAAACAUCGCGAGUGCAUUGUGAGGUUAUCGAGAUUAUCGAGGAUCAUCGAAACUUCGCCGCAACAUAUUAAUCGAGGCAGAUGAUUGCUGUUGGCCCACGGUGCUCGAGUGACUGCACAGCUAAAGAGGUUAGCUUGGGUACAACGACGGAUUUCGUUCACACUGUCAGAGAGGAAUGGACUUCUCGCUCAAUGGAGGCCUUUACAUUCAACGAUUAAAUGGUAAGUAACAUUUAAUGCGCCCGCGCGUACUUAAGUAUUUUAUAACAAGGAUUCGGUAAACGAGACUCUUGCGUACGAAUACAAAUGAUGCGUGUCGCGCGGGAUAUGUCUAAAGAAAAAGUGUGCUGCUAACGAUACGACGGUAAAGUAGCCGUAGAACUACUUUUGUCUUGGUCCGUGGAGCAUUAAACGUUAACAAUAUUAAUUAAUUCGCUCAUUAGCAUUCCUAUCAUCUAAUGGUUCGUAUCCAUUCAUUGGCGUGAGGUGUACAAAAGAUAGCGGUAAAUUCAACAGUUUGUUGUUCUUGUUUCGCAUUUCGCUGCCAGGCUCGAGAUGCAAAUUUCUUUGAAAAAUAUUUUUGAAAACCACAAAUUAUUCAACAGAUAAUAAAAAUGACAGCAUGUUUGUCAUUUCAUUUUCAAUAUUGUUUAGAAAAUAAUGCAAAUAUCUGUAUUUAUAGAAAAUAUUAUUACUGCUAAACAUUUAUAAACUCUACGUUUCUAAAGACCUUAAAUUUGCAAGCCUAGCCACAACGAACGCAAAUCACGAACUCUCAUCCGAUCAUUUUAUUUUAUCGGUUAAAAGUAAGCUUCGAUUUUAAAUAGCGCAAUUUUUCCUCAACACUCGGCUCUACGCAAUAUUCGUUGUGUCGAUUGCACAUACAGAUUUUUCGAGUAUCAUCCACAUAAAGGAUCGAUGAGGUAGCGGUGCGGUAAAAAAUCGAAUGCGAUCGAGAGAAGUGUUAUUUUUUUUUUUUUUCUGUAUCACGUUUCCCGCGGGCUUCCACAAAGCCAAUAAAGAGUUUAACGAUAAAUGAAUGGCGGAGAGAAUUAUAAAGGUACUGUGCAUUUUCGUGUAAUUCUAGAGAGAGAGCAAGAAAUACACAAGUGCAUCGAUAGAUGCCGUAAUCUUCCCGUAUGUUACCGUAGAAAUACUCGUAUUGAACUACGUGGUCAACUUAUAGCGUAUACAGAUGCGUCUAGAUCAAGAUUUCGCAUCUUAAAACGCCACAUUAUUCGCGAAUAUAUUUUUUGCACGACACUAGCGAAGCGCAAGCACUGCAUAGCGAUGAUACUAAUUCUUUUUUUUUUCUUCUGAAAAUCCGGACCUUCCCGGAUGAAAUCUCGAAGCUUGCCGCGUUAAUACACGCACACGUCUCGACACAUUUGUCAAUUACGGAUCUAUACCGCCCUUCUCGUCCUUCGGCGUAAUCAUAAUUUACAGUUCUACGAUAAACGUCGAUUACGCAAACGCAUCAUGUGCCUUUUGAGCUUCUGCAAGAAGUGCCACGGACGUUUGUAAGAUUGGCUCUGGAAAAUCUUCCGCUGCACAAUUCCCUUUCGAGUAACGACGAAUGCGACCGUAAAAAAUGCCGUUUGAUCUUUUUUUUUUUCAACAGUUCCGUAAUUUCUCUAGGAAAUACAGAGUAAAAGUGAGACUAAAUUUAUAAUUCAUAAAACCUGCUUUAUAAACACGAAAUUAAGCUCUAUUCUUACUUUGAACUCGUUUAAGCGAAUGCUACUCGAUGUGAUUGCUUCCUGAAGUGUCAGCGUUCACAGUACAUUCUUGCGAAAAAGUAUUCUCGAAGUGCUGUCGUUGCUACUCACAAGGUGGAUUGGCGGCGGAAAGUAUCUUUCCGUCGAGGGCCAUCUCGAUGAAGAUAUUUCGCAUCUAGAAACUUUCCCGCGAUUACGUAUCGUGUCGUUAUUAUAAAUAGAAUAUUUUACGUAUAACGUACGUCCGCGCACGGCCGUAUAUUCAACGCGCAAUUACGUUCUCCAGAAUGUACAUCUUACUUUUUAUGGACCACCCUGCUCUCCUCAGCCAAAGUGCGCAUACGUUACAGCUCUCUCGAUAUCACACACAAGCGACAAGGAUUUUCUUUCCGAUUUACUUGCAUGGCAGUGUUUCGAAUUGUGAAAUUCCAAUAGGCGCGAAUCUGUUGACGAAACCAGCUAUUACAGGUUCACAGCGCUGCGGCGUAGCGGCUUAUAGCAAAGAUAUUUGAGAUCCUUUUGUAGAGAGAUUCAAGAAUUAUACGAUGAGAUAUUUGAACGGAUGCACAUUAGCCGCGGAUCUGGGAGCAGGGCUUUUCUUUUCGAAUGUGGACGAAAUAGAUCUAUAUAAAAAGUGGUCUAUCGCCUAGAUGUAUGUUUUCUUCUUUUUUUUAUUACGCAUAUAAUUUGCAGCUGUGUAUGAUAAACGAUCUAUUCUAAGACACAGUGUUUCCAAACCCUUCGAAAGCUGCUCGAACCAUUUAAACUAUGAUAUGAAUUUCAUGUGCAAAAUAUGUAAUUCUUUCAUAAUUUAAGUAUGAAAGGUAUUUUGUAAUUCAUAGUAAUUAUAAAUGUUUGUGAAGAUUUUAAUUAAGAAAAAUAUAAAAUAAACACUAAGUGUUAAUAAUAAUAUACUGUAACAUAGCACAGAAUAAAUAAUUUUUGACGGAUUUAGAAACACUGUGCGACGUGGACAAAUUUGGAGGAAUUGUAGUGACGAUCAGAAAAAGCUUCAUCUUUUUGAUGUAACAGAUGGAUAAUUGGCCUUAAUUUCUAUUAUUGCCGAAUGCGAGAAAUUUCCAUAAUUAAAAAAAUUUAUUUUUUAAUAUACAUCUGUUGGAAUUUCAUGCACCAUUGAGAUUAACUAGUAAAUUUGAUGCCUUGUCUUUUCAUCAAAGUCGCUUGUUUCAAACUGCACUAUAAUUCUCUCUCUCUCUCUCUUUUUCGUUCUGUCCCGAAGUUUGUUCCCGUCGCAAUGCAACACCUUGUUACCAUUGCAUCUCGUUAAAUCUUGCUCUUGCACACAUGACACGAGACGCAAACAUGUUAUUAUCUCUCUUCUCUGUUCGAUUUCAGAGCAUCGUAGAAAACAAAGCGACACUUCCCCAUUCAUUUUGAAAAACUCACGCGUUAAAGACGCGUUUUGUUUUUUGCCUGUUUCAUUUUACACUUGACGAGCGCUUACAUUAUUACGUGCGUUCUACAUUUUGCUAGAAUUGCGGGAGCCUCCUGAAAGAACUGCGACAUUCGUAUAUGCGUAUGAAGGUAUUCGUUAUUUUAUAUUCUUCUUCUAUUUUAAGUGCACACUUUGCGCAAUCGAAAUAUGAUUUAUUUUAACGACGAGAGUUUUGUAAAAUACCCGUUGAAUAAUUGGAUGAGUUUUUGAGGAGAUUGCAUGAUAAAAAUUUCAAGAGACGGCUCUUAUCUUUAGAUGGCUUUCAACUUCAUCGAGAAAUUCUUUCCUUAACCGUCAAAUGCAUCAUCCUUUUUCUCCAUUUUUACAUUAAUUCUUCCCAAAAAUUAUUGAUAAUUUUCCACCUCUCGGCGUAUCCAUCACUUGAUUUUUAAAGUAGGUCGUAGGAAAAUAUAAGGUUUGUCUUUGAGGCUGUUCUAAUAAAACUGCAAAUUAUUUUGCGGAAAUACAUAAGCGAUUUUCAUCAUUUAUUAAAAGGCUGUAACAUCGACUUCAGUUACUUUACUUUACUCUUGUCAUCCAAGUUCGUAACAACGCGCUUAAGUUAACUAUUUAAAUUAUUCAUUACAAAAUUAGAAUGUUGCGACAAUAUUCUUUCCUCGUAAAAAUCGAUAACAGGACAAACGUUGCCGAACAGCUAGCGAAUGCAUUUAAGGGUUAAGCGGUGUUUCGAAGGAAAUUUUUAAUCGGUCGACUUUUUCGCCGACGACGACGACGACGACGACCUCAAUCGCUUCAUCGUGUAAUCUUCCAGAAAACAAUCCUGCUCUACUCGUUUGCAAAAUGUGUGGUAGAAGAGUUUGCAGUUAGAGAAAGAUACGUACGUUUAUCAGUGAGUCUUUUUGGCAGUCAGUUUGUCAGACGAGAUCUGUAUUUAAUGAGUAUUUAUCUCGAUUUCUCGGGCUCCGGUUAGCAAUAACUGCAAUUACCCCAAACGCUCCCUUUAAAUCAUAAUUCUGGUUCUAACAUAAAUACAGAGAGGAGAUAUAAGAUUUUUUUUUAUUGCGAAAGUAAGAUGAAUGAGAACGUAAAAUUUUACGUUCAGAAACCGAGUAUCUCCAAAUGUUUCGAGUUUUUUUUUUUUAUUGAACGAACUAGAAUCAGUGCUAACCGUCGUCGGAAGUAUCGAUACAUGUCUUUUGAAUCUGAGCGCGCAUUCAUCGUCCGUAUGUACGCGUAUGUAUUUGCGUGCGUGCGUGCGUGCGCUUGUGUCUAUGUGUGAGAAAAGAAAUCAUUUACACGCAUCCCGCAACGACGACCGCGGCGCGGUCGUGUGGCUUUACAAUUAUACGUUAUAUCUAUCGGAUGUAUCGCAUAACCGGUCACGAUUAUUGAGAUACACCCGCACGGUACAGUACGUUCGGCUCGCGUUUUCUUGGUCUGCUGGUUUCUUUUUUUUUUUUUUUUUUCUUUUCUCUUUCGCUUUAGUAUUGCUGAACAAUAAUUGUAAGAUCGGCACGAAGCGCGGUGCGCGCCUGAAGGUGUUCCCGACUCCGCGUUUCUCCUAUAAGAUCUCUAAUGUUAUAAUAACUUGUAAUAGUAGUAGCGCCGUAAUAGUAUAUAUAUAUACGAUAGUAGAGUAGCAACCAUAACAGUAUAAUAAUUAUAAUAUUAGUUGCAGUAAUAAUAAAAAUAGUAGUAGUAGUAGUAGUAGUAGUAGUGGUAGCAGCAGUGUAACAUAGCGAUGUUGCACCUAAAAUAGUACGCAGGCUACACGUAGAGAUUUCGAAUUAGCCGACACCGCUCGACGUCGUGUGUCGUGGAGAUAGGCGUGUGAUCGGCGUGUUCCGAGAAGAAAGCACGAUAUAUGUCGCGCAUUGUUACUUUCAGUAAUGUCGAAGUGGACAGUUCUCUUCUUUUCUCUCUCUCUCUCUCUCUCUCUCUCUCUCUCUCUCUCUCUCUUUUUCCCUCUUUCGCACGUCGCGCGUAAGACACUGACCACGAAUCGCUUUCCUCUUCCUCGGCGUUUGCCCAUACGCGUCUUUUCUAUUUUUAAAGUGAGCAAGGGUGUCCGCAGCACUUUACGUUCCACCAACUUGUUAUUGCGCUGACGGCGGCAAUUUUUCUUCGCUUCGGCGUACAACGUCGUGAUAAAUCGCCGUGUGUAGACGGGCGCUGAGGAAUAGACUCUUCGCCCCCUCCCCCCCCCGGCUCGGCUUUCCGUUCUAUUCGAUACGAAUACGGAGAUACCUGACGCGACAAAACGAGCCGUUUACCCGCCCGACGAUGCGUCAUAGCGAAAGCGCUAGUUAUGAACUAUCUGGCUCGAUCAUCUCGAAACACUUGUCCGCCGUCCUCAAUAUUCGCCGCCGAUGCAUGAACAGGCCACAUUACGCGAAACACUCUACAAUGAUUGCUUUCCCUCCCUUUAUCUCGCGACACGAAUCGUUUUUUUACGUUCCAUUUCCAGUUGCACAAACGACGCGUAACGUAACGUUUUCACAUGCUGCGACACGUCCAGCGGGCGACGUGUCGAAUCAAACGACGAACGAAGGAUCGAUGGAACUGCGAAUCAUGAAUCAGCGACGUCCGCGGACGACAUUUUUCUGAUUAACCGUGCUACGUAGUAGUGAGGUAUAACGUCUUACAUUAGUACGUUUGAUCGUCAUCGACUAAGCUAAGCAUUUUCAUUGCUUGGCCGAAGCGUUCUCGUCGGUGACGCCCUAUCUACCUAAGAUAUAAGAAAGGGAAAAGAAACGGAGAUAAGUAUAUAUAUAUAUAUAUAUAU